rnacentral:rRNA from 1 species
GGGUUGUGAGGUUAAGCGACUAAGCGUACACGGUGGAUGCCCUGGCAGUCAGAGGCGAUGAAGGACGUGCUAAUCUGCGAUAAGCGUCGGUGAGGUGAUAUGAACCGUUAUAACCGGCGAUUUCCGAAUGGGGAAACCCAGUGUGUUUCGACACACUAUCAUUAACUGAAUCCAUAGGUUAAUGAGGCGAACCGGGGGAACUGAAACAUCUAAGUACCCCGAGGAAAAGAAAUCAACCGAGAUUCCCCCAGUAGCGGCGAGCGAACGGGGAGCAGCCCAGAGCCUGAAUCAGUGUGUGUGUUAGUGGAAGCGUCUGGAAAGGCGCGCGAUACAGGGUGACAGCCCCGUACACAAAAAUGCACAUACUGUGAGCUCGAUGAGUAGGGCGGGACACGUGGUAUCCUGUCUGAAUAUGGGGGGACCAUCCUCCAAGGCUAAAUACUCCUGACUGACCGAUAGUGAACCAGUACCGUGAGGGAAAGGCGAAAAGAACCCCGGCGAGGGGAGUGAAAAAGAACCUGAAACCGUGUACGUACAAGCAGUGGGAGCCUCUUUUAUGGGGUGACUGCGUACCUUUUGUAUAAUGGGUCAGCGACUUAUAUUCUGUAGCAAGGUUAACCGAAUAGGGGAGCCGAAGGGAAACCGAGUCUUAACUGGGCGUUAAGUUGCAGGGUAUAGACCCGAAACCCGGUGAUCUAGCCAUGGGCAGGUUGAAGGUUGGGUAACACUAACUGGAGGACCGAACCGACUAAUGUUGAAAAAUUAGCGGAUGACUUGUGGCUGGGGGUGAAAGGCCAAUCAAACCGGGAGAUAGCUGGUUCUCCCCGAAAGCUAUUUAGGUAGCGCCUCGUGAAUUCAUCUCCGGGGGUAGAGCACUGUUUCGGCAAGGGGGUCAUCCCGACUUACCAACCCGAUGCAAACUGCGAAUACCGGAGAAUGUUAUCACGGGAGACACACGGCGGGUGCUAACGUCCGUCGUGAAGAGGGAAACAACCCAGACCGCCAGCUAAGGUCCCAAAGUCAUGGUUAAGUGGGAAACGAUGUGGGAAGGCCCAGACAGCCAGGAUGUUGGCUUAGAAGCAGCCAUCAUUUAAAGAAAGCGUAAUAGCUCACUGGUCGAGUCGGCCUGCGCGGAAGAUGUAACGGGGCUAAACCAUGCACCGAAGCUGCGGCAGCGACACUGUGUGUUGUUGGGUAGGGGAGCGUUCUGUAAGCCUGUGAAGGUGUGCUGUGAGGCAUGCUGGAGGUAUCAGAAGUGCGAAUGCUGACAUAAGUAACGAUAAAGCGGGUGAAAAGCCCGCUCGCCGGAAGACCAAGGGUUCCUGUCCAACGUUAAUCGGGGCAGGGUGAGUCGACCCCUAAGGCGAGGCCGAAAGGCGUAGUCGAUGGGAAACAGGUUAAUAUUCCUGUACUUGGUGUUACUGCGAAGGGGGACGGAGAAGGCUAUGUUGGCCGGGCGACGGUUGUCCCGGUUUAAGCGUGUAGGCUGGUUUUCCAGGCAAAUCCGGAAAAUCAAGGCUGAGGCGUGAUGACGAGGCACUACGGUGCUGAAGCAACAAAUGCCCUGCUUCCAGGAAAAGCCUCUAAGCAUCAGGUAACAUCAAAUCGUACCCCAAACCGACACAGGUGGUCAGGUAGAGAAUACCAAGGCGCUUGAGAGAACUCGGGUGAAGGAACUAGGCAAAAUGGUGCCGUAACUUCGGGAGAAGGCACGCUGAUAUGUAGGUGAAGCGACUUGCUCGUGGAGCUGAAAUCAGUCGAAGAUACCAGCUGGCUGCAACUGUUUAUUAAAAACACAGCACUGUGCAAACACGAAAGUGGACGUAUACGGUGUGACGCCUGCCCGGUGCCGGAAGGUUAAUUGAUGGGGUUAGCGGUAACGCGAAGCUCUUGAUCGAAGCCCCGGUAAACGGCGGCCGUAACUAUAACGGUCCUAAGGUAGCGAAAUUCCUUGUCGGGUAAGUUCCGACCUGCACGAAUGGCGUAAUGAUGGCCAGGCUGUCUCCACCCGAGACUCAGUGAAAUUGAACUCGCUGUGAAGAUGCAGUGUACCCGCGGCAAGACGGAAAGACCCCGUGAACCUUUACUAUAGCUUGACACUGAACAUUGAGCCUUGAUGUGUAGGAUAGGUGGGAGGCUUUGAAGUGUGGACGCCAGUCUGCAUGGAGCCGGCCUUGAAAUACCACCCUUUAAUGUUUGAUGUUCUAACGUUGGCCCCUGAUCGGGGUUGCGGACAGUGUCUGGUGGGUAGUUUGACUGGGGCGGUCUCCUCCUAAAGAGUAACGGAGGAGCACGAAGGUUGGCUAAUCCUGGUCGGACAUCAGGAGGUUAGUGCAAUGGCAUAAGCCAGCUUGACUGCGAGCGUGACGGCGCGAGCAGGUGCGAAAGCAGGUCAUAGUGAUCCGGUGGUUCUGAAUGGAAGGGCCAUCGCUCAACGGAUAAAAGGUACUCCGGGGAUAACAGGCUGAUACCGCCCAAGAGUUCAUAUCGACGGCGGUGUUUGGCACCUCGAUGUCGGCUCAUCACAUCCUGGGGCUGAAGUAGGUCCCAAGGGUAUGGCUGUUCGCCAUUUAAAGUGGUACGCGAGCUGGGUUUAGAACGUCGUGAGACAGUUCGGUCCCUAUCUGCCGUGGGCGCUGGAGAACUGAGGGGGGCUGCUCCUAGUACGAGAGGACCGGAGUGGACGCAUCACUGGUGUUCGGGUUGUCAUGCCAAUGGCACUGCCCGGUAGCUAAAUGCGGAAGAGAUAAGUGCUGAAAGCAUCUAAGCACGAAACUUGCCCCGAGAUGAGUUCUCCCUGACUCCUUGAGAGUCCUGAAGGAACGUUGAAGACGACGACGUUGAUAGGCCGGGUGUGUAAGCGCAGCGAUGCGUUGAGCUAACCGGUACUAAUGAACCGUGAGGCUUAACCUUACAACGCCGAAGGUGUUU